CAGAACACCGCUGACACUGACAGUCCUUGGAUGAAGCCAUGAAGGAUUGGAGAAAAGGACGUGGUGGUGUUGUGCUGUUGGCCAAAAUGUCAUUACUAGCCCCACUGACGCAUCAACAAUUCUUAGGUUCCAAUACCAAAUGUCUGUGUUGUUUUCCAAUGACUUUGUUGGAGAUUCCAGGUGAUUAUUAAUCGAAUAAUCCAGGCACAUAACCUAAUUAAGAAACUGGACUGAGCUCUUCCUUCAUGAAGCUUGUGUCAUGGUACGACAACGAGUGGGCCUACAGCAACCGGAUUCUGGACCUGAUCGCCCACAUGGCUCUUGUCAGCACAGCACCAGGCACUGAUGCGUCCGAAUUCCUCGUUCCACCAACAGCCUAGUGAUGAAGGCUGCUGUUUCCAUGGCCGUUUACCCUUUUGUUUG